rnacentral:rRNA from 1 species
ACCUACGGGGCGCAGCAGUGGGGGAUAUUGCACAAUGGGGGGAACCCUGAUGCAGCGACGCCGCGUGGGUGAAGAAGCGCCUCGGCGCGUAAAGCCCUGUCAGCAGGGAAGAAAAUGACGGUACCUGAAGAAGAAGCCCCGGCUAACUACGUGCCAGCAGCCGCGGUAAUACGUAGGGGGCAAGCGUUAUCCGGAUUUACUGGGUGUAAAGGGCGCGUAGGCGGGAUAGCAAGUCAGUCGUGAAAUGCCGAGGCUUAACCUCGGAGCUGCGAUUGAAACUGUUAUUCUUG